GUGGGGAAUCUUCCGCAAUGGACGAAAGUCUGACGGAGCAACGCCGCGUGAGUGAAGAAGGUUUUCGGAUCGUAAAGCUCUUUCGUUAGGGACGAACGUGCUCUUUGUGAAUAAUGAGGAGUAAUGACGGUACCUAAAUAAGAAGCCACGGCUAACUACGUGCCAGCAGCCGCGGUAAUACGUAGGUGGCAAGCGUUGUCCGGAAGUAUUGGGCGUAAAGCGCGCGCAGGCGGGAUAUCAAGUCUGUCUUAAAAGUGCGAGGCUCAACCUCGUGAGGGGACAGAAACUGGUAUUCUUGAGUGUCGGAGAGGAAAGUGGAAUUCCAAGUGUAGCGGUGAAAUGCGUAGAGAUUUGGAAGAACACCAGUGGCGAAGGCGACUUUCUGGACGAUGUCUGACGCUGAGGCGCGAAAGCUAGGGGAGCGAACGGGAUUAGAAACCCGGGUAGUCC
rnacentral:rRNA from 1 species